AUUGAACGCUGGCGGCAGGCCUAACACAUGCAAGUCGAACGGUAACAGGAAGAAGCUUGCUUCUUUGCUGACGAGUGGCGGACGGGUGAGUAAUGUCUGGGAAACUGCCUGAUGGAGGGGGAUAACUACUGGAAACGGUAGCUAAUACCGCAUAACGUCGCAAGACCAAAGAGGGGGACCUUCGGGCCCCUUGCCAUCGGAUGUGCCCAGAUGGGAUUAGCUUGUUGGUGGGGUAACGGCUCACCAAGGCGACGGUCCCUAGCUCGUCUGAGAGGAUGACCAGCCACACUGGAACUGAGCCACGGUCCAGACUCCUACGGGAGGCAGCAGUGGGGAAUAUUGCACAAUGGGCGCAAGCCUGAUGCAGCCAUGCCGCGUGUAUGAAGAAGGCCUUCGGGUUGUAAAGUACUUUCAGCGGGGAGGAAGGGAGUAAAGUUAAUACCUUUGCUCAUUGACGUUACCCGCAGAAGAAGCACCGGCUAACUCCGUG
rnacentral:rRNA from 1 species